GCCUGUUGCAAAGUUGUUAUUUUUGAUAUCAGAAGGUUGGGGAUGUUUCUAUUUGAAACAUUGUCUAUUUACAUUCCUUAGCCCAAAAUAGUCUGAAGUGUCAGUAUUAUGUCUUCAUGGUUCUAACGGAAUUUUAUGAUGUUACAGCAAUAAUCACAAGUCUCCACGCGUUAUUUUUUGCCCUCUCCAGCUUACGGGAAAGUGUAUUACGGUAAUGAGUAAGGUCAUAGUUAUGAAGGGAUGCCAGGGAUGCCAGUGUAUCCCUCCCCCAAAUGGAAGGAAGAGAGAGCGGGUAUGGAAUUAAGUUGUUGGCGAUGCAUGGGAAUAAGCCCCCCGCACUAGAGCGACGGCUCUCACACUUUCUGCAUUACAGUGUUACGGAUCAGCACACUCCUGGUUUUAUCCUGGCUCCGAAAAGAAACUCAUGCCUUCAAGGCCAUUCCUGUGGGACUGCAGGACCCAGGACAUUACGCUACGAUGCUUCUCCCAUCUUCUCAAUGGUCUUCCUAAUUAUCAUUCAGCUCAUAAGACACUCGCUCACCCAUGCACAGAAACUCUGGGGCACCGUGUGGGGGAGGGAACAGACCCUGCUGCUGAUGUCAUCAAGCUCUCUCCAGGCGACACUAUGGAGAAGGACUUGCCAUUGUUCGCGUGUGCUACAAUUUCCCAAUUUCUUCUAACUGCCUACUUCACAGGAAGCCCCAGAAUAGAUCCUGUGCCUAGAGAAGCCCUCACAGCCCUUGGGAGACAAGGGCAAAAAUACUAAGAAGCAGAGCAAGGUCAUCGUAUUAAGACUGGGUUUGUGCAUCGUUCUUCCUGCUAAGCUACCUGUACCAUGAACAGCCACCGAGGCUGGGGGGACUGUGGUGCUCAAUGAAAGGAGGGCCUCCCACCACUCGCACACGUCAGGGACUGCAGCCCGGGCUCACAGAGCACACAGCUUUGAGGAGGGUAGACCAGCAUGCCCUGGUUCAUCCUCAGGACAUCCGGUAAAGGACAAAGUGGGGAAAUGCCAUUUUACAGGUGAUUAAUCUUCAGUAAGAUUUACUGAAUAACUUCCUCCUCUAUCAUUAUUAUCAACAACAAUUGUCAUUGAUAUCACAGACAACACAUGUUUUUGGAGGGCUGACUGUGCAGACAGAAUUUGCAUCUUCAAGGAAUUUAUAUUAUGGAGAUCUGAAUGAAAAUCUUUCCUUUAUUACGAGACCAGAUUGGGCAAAAUCCCCAAGGAAACAAAUCAUGGCCUUUAAAGGGUAGCAGAAUCUAUUCUCUGCAAACACAGUUGUUGACUGGGCCUUUUUUUUUUUUUUAAUAAAAUUAAAACUCCAUCUACUUUCA
rnacentral:lncRNA from 1 species